ACGACCUUACUUGAACAGGAUCUGUUCUAUAGGCUCGUACCAUUGUAUCCUUGAAUUCUAAGGAGACAGGAAUCCAAGUCUGGUUGAUGAAGCAUGGCCAUGUGACCAGAGCGUGAUUAACAGCUAUCCAUGGUUUCUCGAGCUGUGGUUACAGUAGAUGAUCGUUCUUAGACCCUUAAUCUCAGGCCUAAGAUGGUCUCAUGGCUGUCUGACAGAC
rnacentral:snoRNA from 15 species